rnacentral:tRNA from 1 species
AUUUAUAUAGUUUAAAAAAAACAUUAUUUUUUCAUAAUAAAAUUAGAACCUUUAUAUUCUUAUAAAUA